CUGGGACUGAGACACGGCUUGCGGACGGGUGCGGACGGGUGAGUAAUGCGUAGGAAUCUGUUCUUUUUAGUGGGGGACAACCCAGGGAAAUUUGGGCUAAUACCGCAUGAGCCCUGAGGGGGAAAGCGGGGGAUCUUCGGACCUCGCGCUAAGAGAGGAGCCUACGUCCGAUUAGCUAGUUGGCGGGGUAAAAGGCCCACCAAGGCGACGAUCGGUAGCUGGUCUGAGAGGACGACCAGCCACACUGGGACUGAGACACGGCCCAGACUCCUACGGGAGG
rnacentral:rRNA from 1 species